AGACACUUUUGGUCCCAGGAGGGACAGGGACGUCUGGGUGCAGCAGCUGCCUCCGGACACGGGACACGGGUCUGCGCUUUGCUUCCCUCUGCCUCCCCCGGGGCCCAGCUGGUCACUGGCCAUCUUGAGCCAUGAACACUUCUCUGCUCUUCCUGCCACCCUGCUGCUGUGCCUUAUCUUCAGCUUCACACAUCCACGGAGACAUCACCCUCCCUUGGAAUGCAUUUGCUUUGGGUUUCCAGCCCAUUGGUCUUGCAGUCCACACAACUUUAGUGUUGUAAAUGUGCAGCCAGACAAAGCUGUCAGAAUGUUCGAGGUCCAGAGGGAAGCCACUCUAACUCCACCCGCGCUGUGGCCCUCUCUGGUGGGCUUGUGGCCUCCGUCCUGUGGCCCCAGGCAUGGGUACAGCUCCAGCUGGAAGAAGUCAGGAAAGGAAAAGAGGACAGGCGCCUGCUCCUGAAGGAGCUGUGUGGACACUGCCUGUUCCCUGUGCAUUCACGUGUGGUGCCACACCUUAGUCUCAGGAGUGGGAGGGCAGGCUCCAUCCAGGUGGAACUGGGGCAUGAGGAAAAUACAGAGGGUCUGGGGUCCUGGUCACCGGUUGCCAUUUUGACCCUAAAAAGGGCUCAACACAGCUGCGGGUGUAUCAGGGAGAGAGAGACCUGUGUCCAAGUUAAAAGUACCCACUUACUAGCAACUUCAGGAGGGGACGG
rnacentral:lncRNA from 1 species